rnacentral:rRNA from 1 species
AUUGAACGCUGGCGGCAGGCCUAACACAUGCAAGUCGAGCGGAUGAAGGGAGCUUGCUCCUGGAUUCAGCGGCGGACGGGUGAGUAAUGCCUAGGAAUCUGCCUGGUAGUGGGGGAUAACGUCCGGAAACGGGCGCUAAUACCGCAUACGUCCUGAGGGAGAAAGUGGGGGAUCUUCGGACCUCACGCUAUCAGAUGAGCCUAGGUCGGAUUAGCUAGUUGGUGGGGUAAAGGCCUACCAAGGCGACGAUCCGUAACUGGUCUGAGAGGAUGAUCAGUCACACUGGAACUGAGACACGGUCCAAACUCCUACGGGAGGCAGCAGUGGGGAAUAUUGGACAAUGGGCGAAAGCCUGAUCCAGCCAUGCCGCGUGUGUGAAGAAGGUCUUCGGAUUGUAGAGCACUUUAAGUUGGGAGGAAGGGCAGUAAGUUAAUACCUUGCUGUUUUGACGUUACCAACAGAAUAAGCACCGGCUAACUUCGUG